rnacentral:rRNA from 1 species
AGUGAACGCUGGCGGCGUGCUUAACACAUGCAAGUCGAACGAGAACGGAAUAUAGCUUGAUAAAUUCGUCAGCUAAGUGGCACACGGGUGAGUAAUGUAUAGAUAACCUGCCCUUAAGAAAGGAAUAACAGUUGGAAACGACUGCUAAUGCCCUAUAUGCCUUUAAUACAUAAGUAUGCAAGGGAAGCGCUUUAGUGCUUAAGGAUGGGUCUGUAUGGUAUCAGCUUGUUGGUGAGGUAAUGGCUCACCAAGGCUAUGACGCCUAACUGGUUUGAGAGGAUGAUCAGUCACACUGGAACUGAGACACGGUCCAGACUCCUACGGGAGGCAGCAGUGGGGAAUAUUGCACAAUGGACGAAAGUCUGAUGCAGCAACGCCGCGUGGAGGAUGACACAUUUCGGUGCGUAAACUCCUUUUAUAUAGGAAGAUAAUGACGGUACUAUAUGAAUAAGCACCGGCUAACUCCGUGCCAGCCGCCGCGGUAA